rnacentral:rRNA from 1 species
GACGACCGCUGGCGGCGUGCCUAAUACAUGCAAGUCGAACGCAGUGGGGACGGGUGAGUAACACGUGGGUAACCUCCCAUCAGAGGGGAUAACACUUGGAAACAGGUGCUAAACCGAUACUGAUGGAUGGACCCGCGGUGCAUCAGCUAGUUGGUGAGGUAACGGCGCACCAAGGCCACGAUGCAUAGCAGACCGGAGAGGGUGAUCGGAAACACUGGGACUGAGAAGCGGCCCAGACGCAUACGAGAGGCAGCAGUAGGGAAUCAACGGCAAUGGACGAAAGUCUGACCGAGCUACGACGCGUGAGUGAAGAAGGUUUUCGGAUCGUAAAACUCUGUUGUUAGGGAAGCGGUAGCUAACUAAAAUGCCACGGCUAACUACGUGCCAGCAGCCGCGGGAAUUU